ACCAGACUCCUACGGGAGGCAGCAGUGGGGGAUAUUGCACAAUGGGGGGAACCCUGAUGCAGCGACGCCGCGUGGGUGAAGAAGCGCCUCGGCGCGUAAAGCCCUGUCAGCAGGGAAGAAAAUGACGGUACCUGAAGAAGAAGCCCCGGCUAACUACGUGCCAGCAGCCGCGGUAAUACGUAGGGGGCAAGCGUUAUCCGGAUUUACUGGGUGUAAAGGGGGCGCAGACGGCGAUGCAAGCCAGGAGUGAAAGCCCGGGGCCCAACCCCGGGACUGCUCUUGGAACUGCGUGGCUGGAGUGCAGGAGGGGCAGGCGGAAUUCCUGGUGUAGCGGUGAAAUGCGUAGAUAUCAGGGGGAACACCGGUGGCGAAGGCGGCCUGCUGGACUGCAACUGACGUUGAGGCCCGAAAGCGUGGGGAGCAAACAGGAUUAGAUACCCUUGUA
rnacentral:rRNA from 1 species